UACGGAGGGGGCAAGCGUUAUUCGGAAUCAUUGGGCGUAAAGGGCGCGUAGGCGGCUUCAUAAGUCUUGGGUGAAAGCCCUCGGCUCAACCGAGGAAUUGCCUUGGAUACUGUGAAGCUCGAGGCUGGAAGAGGGCAGUGGAAUUCCCGGUGUAGCGGUGAAAUGCGUAGAUAUCUGGAGGAACACCGGUGGCGAAGGCGGCAUCCUGGACCGACACUGACGCUGAGGAGCGAAAGCCAGGGGAGCAAACGGG
rnacentral:rRNA from 1 species